GUUGGACACUUAACCAACUGAGCCACCCAGGCACCCCAAAAAUAAAUAUUUAAAAAACAAAAAUAUAAAAUAAAAGGUAGACUCAAUUUCACUAGGUCUAAGGUGGAAUCUGAGAUUCUACAUUUCUGACAAGCUCCCAGAUGAUGCUAAUGCUGGUCAGUGGACCUUGCUUUGAGCUGCAAGGGUCUAAAACAUCACUGUCCAACAAAACUUUCCGCAAGGAUGAAAAUGUUCUAAAUCUACACUGUUCAAUACACACGUGACUACUGAGCACCUGAAUCUCAGCUAGUACAGUGGAGAAACUGAAUUUUUAAUCUUAGGCUACCAUAUUAAUACAGAUCUAGAAUGCAUAUGCUCCAUGAAGGCACCAAUUCCUAGAAAUGUGGAGCAUAAGAAAAGAAUUAAGGAUCCCUGCAAACUCUUGGCCUGCACAGCCUCUGUGGAUGGGACACUGUGAAAACUCUAUCAGAGGCCUAGAUGGCACCAGCUCAGGAGUGGAUCAGUACUUACCUAGGGCAGGAAGGCAGCCACAGAAGGCCAUUCUGAGACACUUUAGUGACUAAAGCAUGCGGUAACCCACAGAUGACCACCUUGACCUCAUGACUCAACCGCACUCCUAACCACAACCCCAGGCACACUUGACCAAUGCCAUCCCUGGGCAUCCAUGAUCCUGGACAAUCUUAAAGCCCCAGCUCUCACAGUGACUUGGUUUAUUGCACUGAUUUGUUGUAGGAUGUCUGCCUCUCCCGCUAAGCUGUAGGUUCUUUCAAAGAGGGAACUUACUUCACUUGGUAUUCUAUUCCCAUCACCUAGCACACAGCAGGACUCAAUAAAUACUGCAUGAAUGUCAGAGCCUGGACCCUACUGGGAGAAUCAUUAGUAUUUUUACUGUUAAUCACAAGAAACAGGGGAAACAAUUGGGAGGAGGAGGGAGGAUUACAUAACAAGAGAAGAUCGGUUCCUCCUUAAGUGACUCAAAAAUUUCCAAACACGUUUUAAGUCCAGAUUUCAGAACACAGCAUAAAUAAGGUGGCCCUGUUUGACCACAAAACCUCAUUUCCAAAAACACAAACACACGGGCAAGAAAAGAUUAUGUCCUUCCGACAACAGAUGCAAAAUCUACUAGUCUGGGAUCUGGAAGAGCGCUCUUCACAAAGGGCUGAGGUUCAGAAUCACAUUCUUGCCUAAAAAGCACAUGGGCCAGGUUCCCACUAGAACUGCUGGGAGGGGCAUCUAGCCCCAAGGACAGCAAGGCCCCUGGGAAUCUGUGCAGCCCACAGGCUCAUUUUACCCCUGCAGUUAGAACCCUGUGCUUGUGACAGCAAUGAGAUUUCCAAGGUAACCAAGGACAACAGAGUAGAGAAUUAUGGCCCCGGAAGGAAGCAGAUUAAAUUGUAAUACUUACGAGUCAACAUCAAAUUUAUUUUUAAAACUACAUAUCUAACAAAAGCCAAAUAGGCAAGGCAGCAUGGAUGGUGUUUUACAGGAGGACUGAACUAUCAACAUGAAUAUUCCAAAUUCCAUCCAGUUGCAGCAGCAGACUUUACUAAAAAUGUGCACAAUAAUUACUUCACCCAGAGAAAGUGAUCACCAGGCGAAACAACACACUGGUUAAAAAAAAACCAAAAAA